UGGGGAAUAUUGCACAAUGGGCGCAAGCCUGAUGCAGCCAUGCCGCGUGUAUGAAGAAGGCCUUCGGGUUGUAAAGUACUUUCAGCGGGGAGGAAGGCGAUAAGGUUAAUAACCUUGUCGAUUGACGUUACCCGCAGAAGAAGCACCGGCUAACUCCGUGCCAGCAGCCGCGGUAAUACGGAGGGUGCAAGCGUUAAUCGGAAUUACUGGGCGUAAAGCGCACGCAGGCGGUCUGUCAAGUCGGAUGUGAAAUCCCCGGGCUCAACCUGGGAACUGCAUUCGAAACUGGCAGGCUAGAGUCUUGUAGAGGGGGGUAGAAUUCCAGGUGUAGCGGUUAAAUGCGUAGAGAUCUGGAGGAAUACCGGUGGCGAAGGCGGCCCCCUGGACAAAGACUGACGCUCAGGUGCGAAAGCGUGGGGAGCAAACA
rnacentral:rRNA from 1 species